rnacentral:rRNA from 1 species
GCUCCAAUAGCGUAUAUUAACGUUGUUGCAGUUAAAAGGCUCGUAGUCGAAUUUAUGACCAUGCAACCUGGUCCAGCGUCUAGUACGUUGCGAGCCAGUGUUUGCAGGUCAUCCAUCUGGAGAGCGCAGCGCCUUGAUUGGGUGGUUGUGUAGUCCAGAUCAUUUACUGUGAGUAAAUCAAAGUGUUCAAGGCAGGCAAU